rnacentral:rRNA from 1 species
UACGGAGGGUGCAAGCGUUAUCCGGAAUCACUGGGUUUAAAGGGUGUGUAGGCGGUUAUGUAAGUCAGGGGUGAAAGGUCACAGCUUAACUGUGAGAUUGCCUUUGAAACUGUCGGACUUGAGUGUAAAUGAGGUAGGCGGAAUGCGUGGUGUAGCGGUGAAAUGCAUAGAUAUCACGCAGAACUCCGAUUGCGAAGGCAGCUUACUAAGCUACAACUGACACUGAAGCACGAAAGCGUGGGGAUCAAACAGGAUUAGA